UACAGAGGUCUCAAGCGUUGUUCGGAUUCAUUGGGCGUAAAGGGUGUGUAGGCGGCGCGGUAAGUCGGGUGUGAAAUCUCGGAGCUUAACUCCGAAACUGCAUUCGAUACUGCCGUGCUUGAGGACUGGAGAGGAGACUGGAAUUUACGGUGUAGCGGUGAAAUGCGUAGAUAUCGUAAGGAAGACCAGUGGCGAAGGCGAGUCUCUGGACAGUUCCUGACGCUGAGGCACGAAGGCCAGGGGAGCAAACGGG
rnacentral:rRNA from 1 species